UAUCUCUCCGUACGGGGAAGGAUGAGAAGCUUCGACUAAGGUUCGAUUCGAGCGAAAGCGAG
rnacentral:sRNA from 2 species